CGCGAAGAACCUUACCUGGUCUUGACAUCCACGGAAGUUUUCAGAGAUGAGAAUGUGCCUUCGGGAACCGUGAGACAGGUGCUGCAUGGCUGUCGUCAGCUCGUGUUGUGAAAUGUUGGGUUAAGUCCCGCAACGAGCGCAACCCUUAUCCUUUGUUGCCAGCGGUCCGGCCGGGAACUCAAAGGAGACUGCCAGUGGUAAACUGGAGGAAGGUGGGGAUGACGUCAAGUCAUCAUGGCCCUUACGACCAGGGCUACACACGUGCUACAAUGGCGCAUACAAAGAGAAGCGACCUCGCGAGAGCAAGCGGACCUCAUAAAGUGCGUCGUAGUCCGGAUUGGAGUCUGCAACUCGACUCCAUGAAGUCGGAAUCGCUAGUAAUCGUGGAUCAGAAUGCCACGGUGAAUACGUUCCCGGGUCUUGUACACACC
rnacentral:rRNA from 1 species